rnacentral:rRNA from 1 species
AUUGAACGCUGGCGGCAGGCUUAACACAUGCAAGUCGAGCGGGGAAGGUUGCUUCGGUAACUGACCUAGCGGCGGACGGGUGAGUAAUGCUUAGGAAUCUGCCUAUUAGUGGGGGACAACAUCUCGAAAGGGAUGCUAAUACCGCAUACGUCCUACGGGAGAAAGCAGGGGACCUUCGGGCCUUGCGCUAAUAGAUGAGCCUAAGUCGGAUUAGCUAGUUGGUGGGGUAAAGGCCUACCAAGGCGACGAUCUGUAGCGGGUCUGAGAGGAUGAUCCGCCACACUGGGACUGAGACACGGCCCAGACUCCUACGGGAGGCAGCAGUGGGGAAUAUUGGACAAUGGGGGGAACCCUGAUCCAGCCAUGCCGCGUGUGUGAAGAAGGCCUUUUGGUUGUAAAGCACUUUAAGCGAGGAGGAGGCUACCGAGAUUAAUACUCUUGGAUAGUGGACGUUACUCGCAGAAUAAGCACCGGCUAACUCUGUGCCAGCCGCCGCGGUAACAC